GAGUUUGAUCAUGGCUCAGAUUGAACGCUGGCGGCAUGCCUUACACAUGCAAGUCGAACGGCAGCACGGGAGCUUGCUCCUGGUGGCGAGUGGCGAACGGGUGAGUAAUGCAUCGGAACGUAUCCUGGAGUGGGGGAUAACGUAGCGAAAGUUACGCUAAUACCGCAUAUUCUGUGAGCAGGAAAGCGGGGGACCUUCGGGCCUCGCGCUCUUGGAGCGGCCGAUGUCGGAUUAGCUAGUUGGUGAGGUAAAGGCUCACCAAGGCGACGAUCCGUAGCAGGUCUGAGAGGAUGAUCUGCCACACUGGAACUGAGACACGGUCCAGACUCCUACGGGAGGCAGCAGUGGGGAAUUUUGGACAAUGGGGGCAACCCUGAUCCAGCCAUGCCGCGUGAGUGAAGAAGGCCUUCGGUUGUAAGU
rnacentral:rRNA from 1 species